UACGUAGGGUGCGAGCGUUGUCCGGAAUUACUGGGCGUAAAGAGCUCGUAGGUGGUUUGUCGCGUUGUUCGUGAAAUCUCACGGCUUAACUGUGAGCGUGCGGGCGAUACGGGCAGACUAGAGUACUGCAGGGGAGACUGGAAUUCCUGGUGUAGCGGUGGAAUGCGCAGAUAUCUGGAGGAACACCGGUGGCGAAGGCGGCAUCCUGGACCGGUAUUGACACUGAAAAGCGAAAGCCAGGGGAGCAAACGGG
rnacentral:rRNA from 1 species